AAACAUGGCAAAAUACUCCAGAAGCAGAAGGAAAGAGAAGUGGGGAGAAGGGAGAGAUUCUGCAGUAACAUCAUGUGGUGGAAAUAUUCCAGUUCCAGAGAAAAGAUGAGGCUUUAGAAGUGGGCAUCAUGUCUCUGUUUUGGUGAGAUUUGGAUGCUUUCCUGGCUGGAGAAAGAAGACUAGACUACAUUUCAUGCUGAAAAGGAAAAUAAACUCUGUCCAAGUUAUGGCAACGACCCAAGUCAGCUGUGAAACACAGCAUUUUGCAGGAUGAAGCAUUUGAGUCAACAGCCGAAGCCCACAACCUGUGUUUGCCUUCGUCAUCCAGUUGCUAAAAUUUGAACCCACCUGCCCACUCCUUCAAAGCCCCAAAAUGAGGCAAAGCAGAACUUGGAAAUUACAAGUGAUUGGUUACUUUGGGGAUAAGAAGUACAGUAAUGUAGUUACAAAAUUCUUUUUCAAGUGUAAUGACUUGCACUUAACUUAGGUGAGGGCAUUUAAGUCAUUUUAGAUGCAUUUUGAUGUAACAUUUUCAGUGUUUGUGCCAUUUUCUUAUCAAUCCCAAAGGCAGUGGAAGUAUUAUCUAGUUGUAUCUUUUAUAUUUUUAUAAAUAUCUCCAAGGUAAAAUUUCAGAACUUGGCCACUAAAGGGAAUGAGAAAGCACUCCUUUGUGAUGUUAUGGCCUGUUGGGGAGGAUUAUGGAACCUGUUCAUAUAUUCCUAUUAAUAACACAUGGUGCAAUGAAUUUAUUGUGGACACCAAGCAAUGAUGACAGCAACCAAGCUGCCAUGAAGUAAUAAACAUAUGUGGGCACGCCAGUGAGAUAAAACAAUAACUGGAUUUAUUUCUUGUGUUCUCUGUGCACGAUAUCCUUUACUAUGAAACCUUUACUUCUUGACCACUAGUUGGUACAAUUUAAAAC